UUUAUAUAUUUGUUUAAAUUUUUUUUCGGUUAAAAAUAUUCCGGCGAUUUUUGGUUCGGUUAAAAAUAUAAUUCUAUACGUAAUAUUAUUUAAAUAAAACCACGGGUACCCCCGUUUUCGUUUAACGGCUAUUCGUUUCCCGUUAUUAUAUAUAAUUUUAUUACCUACGUUAUUAUAAUAAAUAUAAAAUUUAUCCAUAUUUUUUAAUGAAAUUAAAAACGGUAUAUUGGUUUUUAUAAUAUGGAACGUAAUUUUUUUAAUAAAUAUUGGGAUAUUUACCGUUUUUAAUAAAACGGCCACGUUUUUUUGGCCAAAACAAAUAUAUAUUUUUCCGGCGUAUUAUUUGUCCAUAUAUAAUUUUGGGUUAUAACGUUUUAAAAUAACAAAUUGUUUAAAUCCCGUUAUAAAAUAUUCCGUUACACCAAUAUCCGGAAAAAAACUUUCCUAUUUAAUGCGGUUUAGGAAAAAUAUUUGUUUUAAACGAUUACCGCCUAUAACCGGAUUAUAUUCGCGAAUUUUUGGAAAUUUUAUUUUGUAUUUAAAAAUUAUAAAUAACGGUUUUGUGCGGUAUUCGCGAAUUUUUGGUGGUUGUGCGUUAUAUUUAUAGGGCGUAAAUAACGGUUUUUUAUUAUAUUCGCGAAUUUUUGGAAAUUUUGCGCUGUUUUCGUAAAUUACAAAUAAUUAUUUUGUACGGUAUUCGCGAAUUUUUGGGAAUUUUGCGUUAUAUUUGUAAAUUAUAAACAACGGUUCCGUAUUAUAUUUGCGAAUUUUUGGGAAUUUGUGGAGGAAAAUUUCGUCGGUUAACAAUUUUGCCCCCUGUUUUAUUAUAUAAUAGUUUAUUGCAAAUAAUUUUUCGUAAUAUAAACCGUCCGAUUCGGUUUUAAAUAAUUCGGAAUUAUUGCUAAAUUAAUUUUUUUCGGGCCUUUUUAUAUUUUAUAUAUA
rnacentral:sRNA from 1 species